rnacentral:piRNA from 1 species
UAGUUUGCUUCAGAUAGGCAUAAUGAUGGU